UCAAAGGAUAUCCAGUUUGGUCUGAUACAAAACGGGUAGAACCAUUCCUGAAUGAGAAUGCUCCACCACCAGCUGCCAGUCCAAGCAUUGUUAACGCCAAGGCCUUAGGAUUACCAGUUUAAAGGCUUUGAGCAUUGAUGUAAAUGGCCACAUUUUGAGCCUUCCUGGUGCAAAUGGAGCAAUUGUUAUGCAUGGAAACCAGGCUCUAGCGAUACUGUGAUUAUCUGGAGUUC